UCCGGGCGCCCGCGGAGGCGGCGGCGCCCGGAUCCCGCUCCCGCCGGGCUCACGGGUACCCGAGGGCGAGAGAGACCCCGAAUCCCGACGCGGUCCGGGACCUGGGCGCGGCCGCACCCCCCACCCACCCCAGCGCGGGGGCCGGGCCGCGGGAACGCCCUCCCGGGACGAAGCGCUUCCCGGUGCCUUCAAGAUUUCUCAGACUCCCCUGAACUGGGGGUGGGAGACAUCCCUUGCAGGGUAUUUCUCACCAUCUCAAUACAAACUGAAACAUCAGAUAUGUCCUGGAGGAGACACACAUGAAGCACCUUGUUUUUAACUUUAUCAUCAUCAUCAUCUUCAUCAUCUAGAAAUUGAUGGAGAAAGUUAAGAGAUCCAAAGAGAGAGAUGUCUUGCCUAAGGUCACACAGCUAGUACUCGGUGGCUCCAUCCUUGCAUCUUCACUUCCAUCGAAUGAAUCAAAUAUGCCUUUCCACCAUGUCAGAAGGGGUAUCCCAGACACAGAAGGAUGUGUAACAUCCUAAGGUCACACAACCAAGAAAUCAGAAGGUGGGACUCAAACACAGGCAAGUUCUAAACCAUGCUGGAUCCAAUCGCUUCUUUCCAUCUUCUCAUCCACCAUGCAAGUCCAGGCACCACCUCCUCAGCAAGAUGUCUGUAACAGUAUACCCGCUCUUCCGGCAGCUGCUGUUGCUCUCUGCCCUAGAUGAAAACCCUCGAGUGAUUAUCUCUGCACUGGUAGAACAAAAUCCAAAUCCUUACAGUGGCCUACGGAGCCCUGCAAGACCUGACCCCUGCCUCUCCAGAUGAACGUUGUGAAGUUCAAAGAAGAGUUACCACUUGGCCAAGGUCGUAUGAUCGGUAAGAGGAAGAGCAGGACUUCAUCCCAGGCCUCCCUCUUCACUCUGGGUAUAUCUCACCCAUCACACCAUAUACUGCCUCUCGGAGAGCAGGGCCAGCUCAUUCUCCCUGCUUCCCUGUCCUUUCCCUUCCUUCAGUUCCUCCAAUGAGGGGUUCCUGCCUUGACUUCUUUAGCUGGCAGAGGAGAUCAGAAGGUCUGCUGGGACCUGGCUCCUAAUAUAGGAAUUGUGAUCAUUGCUGUUUUUUCCGGAGAGGUUACCAGGGGGCAGGCACUGCACUCAUAUCACCUCACAGAACCCUCACCACCACCAUCCUAUAAAGCAAAGACUAUGAUCUGGGGCUCAGAAAGGCAAAGCCACUUGCCUGACGUGACACAGCUUAGGAACUAGAAAAAGCCAGGGUUCAUACACCUGUCCUUACGACAUCAGACUUUGUAACUCAGAAGAGGGAAGUCAGCUCCAACCUGGAGAGUACACUCCCAUGCCAUGCCACAGCAGUCCCAGCUGUCCCUUUAGAAGGACUGCUGAUCUGCUCUGCCAUAAGGACCAGCAAGCCCCAGAGGGUCAAGAGCCCUGGGGGCACUCAAGAUGACCCACCAAGAAAAGACGAGGCCUUCUAGAUGUGUUGCUUUCUAUUUCAGUCUCUAAAAAUUUCUUUUGUGUAUGUUUUAUAGCAAAGAUAUUAUGACACUAUAAUUAUAUACAUAUAUUAUCAAUAAGUAAAUCUCUAUGCUUUAGAGAUAUGGGUUCAAAGAUUGCUUCCUCUUAGGAAUGGAUGAUCACAAAAAUUUGGAAACCAUUCGUUAAGACAGUAGGGACAAGGCUAGAAAGAAUUAUUAUAGAAUAUCUAUGUAUAAAAGAAUGAAGUUAGGCCCCUGCCUAUCUUCACCGUAUUCAAAAAUCAACUCCAAAUGGAUCAAAGACCUACAACUCUUAAGUUGGUGCAAAAGUAAUUGUGGUUUUAGCAAUUAUUUUUAACCUUUUAAACCGCAAUUACUUUUGCGCCAACCUAAUAUAAAACUCUUAGUAGAAAAACAUAGGCUAAAUCUUCGUGACCUUGGGUUUGGCAAUGGAUUCUUAGUUAUGUCACCAGAGCACAAGCAACAAAAGACAGAAGAGAUUAAUUAGAAUUCAUCAAAAUUGAAAAUUUUGUAUAUCA